AUGAACACGAUGGCGGAGUAUGAAUUAUUUUACAAACAAACAGUGUCUAUAAUGACGCUGUUGACUGAAACAGUUCGAGACGAGGUUCAGAAAGUUUUUGACUGUGACUGUCGUCCAGUCUUCACUGACAUUAGUUGUGACAGAGAUGCGAUGUUGGACAUGAAUGAGAAUCAACGCAGACUGUUUCAUCCUGAAACAAUCAACCUGUCAGAGUUGUGCCUGAUUCUGCAACUGUAGCUCCAUCAGUGUCUCUGAAGAGACCUAAUUUGCUCGCUUCGUUACCUGAAGAAAAUGUUCAAUCACAAGGCCAGCAGGUGAGUUCAUUGUUGAAAUGAUUUAACUCUGUUUUGUUUGCUAAAAUGCUUGCAACAACGUUUGCUCUUAUUUAAUUUCUUUCUCUCAGUGUUCAGAGGAGGGUCACGUUUCUGAAUUUCGUCCUGAAUCAUCAAGUAGUGGACAAGAGAACCCAGUGCAAGCAUUUUUUAUAUGUGUGCUGCACAGCUUUGAUAUUUAUGUGUACUAUCUAUAUAAAAAGUGUAGUAAUUGAUUGAAUAUUAAUUAUUUAUUUAAACUUGACUUCAGUAUGUUUGGCAUUAUUACAUGAUUAGACUUUAGACUAGUUUUUCAUAUUUCUUCAGGCAGCGGACCACAUCAACAUUAAAACAACAAUUCUAGACAACCGAACACCAAAAGUACCUCAUUUGUAAGAUUGAUUAGACACUUAGUUUAUAUCCUAUAUUUUGAAAUAGCCUCACUUUUUCCAACCAGUCCCUUUUCUAGACUACUAUUUUUUUCUCAUUUCACUAAAAUAAACUAGACAGUUACUUUUAGCUAAUGAACA
ensembl:lncRNA